AGAGUGAACGCUGGCGGCAGGCCUAACACAUGCAAGUCGAACGGCAGCACAGUAAGAGCUUGCUCUUAUGGGUGGCGAGUGGCGGACGGGUGAGGAAUACAUCGGAAUCUGCCUAUUUGUGGGGGAUAACGUAGGGAAACUUACGCUAAUACCGCAUACGACCUACGGGUGAAAGCGGAGGACCUUCGGGCUUCGCGCAGAUAGAUGAGCCGAUGUCGGAUUAGCUAGUUGGUGGGGUAAAGGCUCACCAAGGCAACGAUCCUUAGCUGGUCUGAGAGGAUGAUCAGCCACACUGGGACUGAGACACGGCCCAGACU
rnacentral:rRNA from 1 species